AGGGUUUGAUCCUGGCUCAGAUUGAACGCUGGCGGCAGGCCUAACACAUGCAAGUCGAGCGGUAGAGAGGAGCUUGCUCCUCUUGAGAGCGGCGGACGGGUGAGUAAUGCCUAGGAAUCUGCCUGGUAGUGGGGGAUAACGUUCGGAAACGGACGCUAAUACCGCAUACGUCCUACGGGAGAAAGCAGGGGACCUUCGGGCCUUGCGCUAUCAGAUGAGCCUAGGUCGGAUUAGCUAGUUGGUGAGGUAAUGGCUCACCAAGGCGACGAUCCGUAACUGGUCUGAGAGGAUGAUCAGUCACACUGGAACUGAGACACGGUCCAGACUCCUACGGGAGGCAGCAGUGGGGAAUAUUGGACAAUGGGCGAAAGCCUGAUCCAGCCAUGCCGCGUGUGUGAAGAAGGUCUUCGGAUUGUAAAGCACUUUAAGUUGGGAGGAAGGGCAGUAAAUUAAUACUUUGCUGUUUUGACGUUACCGACAGAAUAAGCACCGGCUAACUCUGUGCCAGCAGCCGCGGUAAUACAGAGGGUGCAAGCGUUAAUCGGAAUUACUGGGCGUAAAGCGCGCGUAGGUGGUUUGUUAAGUUGGAUGUGAAAUCCCCGGGCUCAACCUGGGAACUGCAUUCAAAACUGACUGACUAGAGUAUGGUAGAGGGUGGUGGAAUUUCCUGUGUAGCGGUGAAAUGCGUAGAUAUAGGAAGGAACACCAGUGGCGAAGGCGACCACCUGGACUAAUACUGACACUGAGGUGCGAAAGCGUGGGGAGCAAACAGGAUUAGAUACCCUGGUAGUCCACGCCGUAAACGAUGUCAACUAGCCGUUGGAAGCCUUGAGCUUUUAGUGGCGCAGCUAACGCAUUAAGUUGACCGCCUGGGGAGUACGGCCGCAAGG
rnacentral:rRNA from 1 species